rnacentral:rRNA from 1 species
UACAGAGGUCCCAAGCGUUGUUCGGAUUCACUGGGCGUAAAGGGUGCGCAGGUGGGUUUGCAAGUUUGAUGUGAAAGCCCCGGGCUUAACCCGGGAAUGGCAUUGAAUACUGCAGAUCUGGAGGAUUGGAGGGGGGACUGGAAUUCUUGGUGUAGCAGUGAAAUGCGUAGAUAUCGGGAGGAACACCGGUGGCGAAGGCGGUUCUCUGGGCCUUACCUGACGCUGAGGAGCGAAAGCGUGGGGAGCGAACAGG